rnacentral:rRNA from 1 species
ACUACGGGUGGCAGCAGUGGGGGAUAUUGCACAAUGGGGGGAACCCUGAUGCAGCGACGCCGCGUGGGUGAAGGAGUGCUUCGGCAUGUAAAGCCCUAUCGGCAGGGAAGAAGCAAGACGGUACCUGACUAAGAAGCCCCGGCUAACUACGUGCCAGCAGCCGCGGUAAUACGUAGGGGGCAAGCGUUAUCCGGAUUUACUGGGUGUAAAGGGAGCGUAGACGGCAGUGCAAGUCCGGAGUGAAAGCCCGGGGCUCAACCCUGGGACUGCUCUGGAAACUGCAAAGCUGGAGUGCGGGAGGGGCAGGCGGAACUCCUGGUGUAGCGGUGAAAUGCGUAGAUAUCAGGAGGAACACCGGCGGCGAAGGCGGCCUGCUGGACCGUAACUGACGUUGAGGCUCGAAAGCGUGGGGAGCAAACAGGAUUAGAUACCCGAGUAGUC